rnacentral:rRNA from 1 species
GGGGAAUAUUGCACAAUGGGGGAAACCCUGAUGCAGCAAUGCCGCGUGUGUGAAGAAGGCCUUCGGGUUGUAAAGCACUUUUGUCCGGAAAGAAAUCCUUGGCUCUAAUACAGUCGGGGGACGACGGUACCGGAAGAAUAAGCACCGGCUAACUACGUGCCAGCAGCCGCGGUAAUACGUGGGGUGCGAGCGUUAAUCGGAAUUACUGGGCGUAAAGCGUGCGCAGGCGGUUUGCUAAGACCGAUGUGAAAUCCCCGGGCUCAACCUGGGAACUGCAUUGGUGACUGGCAGGCUAGAGUAUGGCAGAGGGGGGUAGAAUUCCACGUGUAGCAGUGAAAUGCGUAGAGAUGUGGAGGAAUACCGAUGGCGAAGGCAGCCCCCUGGGCCAAUACUGACGCUCAGGCACGAAAGCGUGGGGAGCAAAC